CAUGUACCUCUAAUUUCAAAUGGAAUUGAGAUAUUGAUUUGCUUAUGCAAUAAGUGUAUACAAGAAGAAAACAUUACAUCAAAAUUAAAACCCUAUUGAAUCUUCAAUCCCUAGAUGAUGGCGAUGAUGAACUUUCUUCUUCCCAGCCCAUGUUCUUCAACCAAGAUCAAGUACCAAAAUUGUUCAAACAAUCCUCUGUUUGUUACUUCUGUGCAAUUAAGUUUAGGAAGCCUAAAGUGAUUCGAUUCAUACAUCAUACUUCCUUUGAUAUAUAAAUUAAUUUACUAUUUUUUCUUUGAUGCCAAGCUGUAGUUUUUCUUCUAUUUGAAAGAAGUAACUCGGUGUUUCUGGUAUCCAGAUUGAAAGGAUUUUCACCUUCAUUGUUGAAAAUGCGGGCUCACUCCAAAACUUGUGACUGCCAAGAUGCAAUAUGAACGAUUAUGCAGUGGAACAAAUAAACCAAAAGAUUUCAAUGAUUUCCAUCUUAGAUUUGAGAUACUGCAUCAAAAUUGGUGGUAAUUCUAUAUAAACAAUCGAGAAGAACUUCAAACAUUUGGAAGUUUUCUGUCGUAAUAUGCAUCUGAUAGAAACUUUGAGAAAACCCUUUGAAGAUAACAUCUUCACAGGGUUUUCUAGAAGUUUCUAACAGAUGCAUAUUGUGACUGAAAACUUCCAAGCAUUUGUAGUUCUUGUUGAUUGUUUCUAUAGCAUUGCCACCAAUCUAUUUGUUGCAAAUCUAAGAUGGAAAUCAUUGAAAGCUUUCGGUUUAUUUGUUGCACUGCAAAAUUGUUCAUAUUGUAUCAUGGAAUGCACAAGUCUUGGAGAGAGCCAACAUUUUCAGUAAUGGAGGUAAAAACCCUUUCAGCAUGGAUACCAGAAACAUUGAGUUACUUCUUACAAAUAGAAGAAAAACUACGACUUGGCAUCAAAGAAAAGACAAUAAAUCAAUUUAUACAUCAAAGAAAAUAUGAAGUAUGAUUGAAUCAGUCGAGUCUUUGAACUGGUUUUUUUUUGUACGAGGUAUUCAUACAACACAAUCAAUUAUAUAACAAGUGUACCAUAUAAUAUUUUACCACAAUUCAUAUUUGUUAAUUUAUAUCCAUAUCUUACAACAUCUUGAGCUUGAUUAUCACCCCGUUUGCUCAUUUCCUCUUUUUGUGAGAGAACAUCUUCGAGCUUCUAGUUGAGUAAUGAGCGCAUCUUUCUCAUGAUUAUAAUUCAUGGGAGGGGUUGGUUGCAAGUAUCUGUUGAAUUUUUUUCAUAAGAAUAUUACUAUAUCAUUUAGAAACUUUUGAAUUAAACAUAUCUAUGAUUAUGAUCUUAAUUGAAUGAUCUAGGAACCUUCACACAUUCGAUAUGCAAUCAAGAUAAUCACAAAUUUACACAACCGUAUGUUCGAUCUUAACAUAAAUAUUGAAAUUCAUUUUAAAAAAUGGAUCUAAAACAAAAAAUGAAAAUACACACUAUCUAGUCAAAAUAGGAUCAAAAACAUUACAAUAAUUAUAAAUCAAGCAGAGGAUUGAUGCUUUUAAAUUGAUCAUAAUUUCUAAAUUAUCAUAAAAUAAAUUAAUUCAAAAUAAAAUAUAAUAGAUUUAGGAGAUUAUAUAUUAAUUUAAUAAUUAUUAAAAAUUUAAAUCAAAUAAUGUUUCUUUUAGGCUUACCUUUUUCCGAUAUUUAAUCAAAUAAAUUAUAGCCGUCAGAGAUUUGUCAUGGAGAUCGCAAAAACUAAAAAUAUAGUCCACGGAUCUUGUUGUCUCCUCGCUGUAGAUCUAGUAGAAAAAAACCAUAAGAUUAAAGAAGGGAAAAUAAUCCAAUAAAAACUAUAUAUCAAUAUAUGACUAAAUAAGAUAAAAGUCCUUAGGUUGAAUACACACUUGUAUAUAUAUAUUGUUAUCACGAUUUUGGGGUAUCAAGUCAUUAAUUAGGCUUGAACCUUUCAAUCUUUGAUAUUCUCUAUUUUUUCUUGGGAAGGGUAAAAUUGAGAAAACCUUUAGAAACUCUAAGUUCGGGGGUCGUUUUCGUUACGGGAAGGUGUUAGGCACCCGUAACGACUAUAGUAUUCUAUAGGAACCGCUUUCCUAGCUUUAUGUCUACGCUUUAUUUUUAUGCUUAUUUAUUGAAAAGAAAGUUUAUUUUGUUUAAGAAUGGAGGGAGGAAACGUUUGAGAUUUUAUUUUAUUGGACUUGGAGAGGUUUUGACCUCUUGCCUACAUACCCUUUUAAGGGAUCAAAAUUCCAUGUAGUUCUCUCUCAAAAAUAUUUUUGUGUGUUUCAAUUGAUUUUAAGUUUUGAAAAAAUGGUUUUAAAGAAGGGAAAGAGGCCGUAAAGGCAUGAGAGAAGAAAAUGGUGAAUGGUUGGUUCAAUUAUUAAAAAAAGUCUAAGUUGGAAUUAGAGUUCAUUUGAGUUUUUCUUAAGAAAAUGAAGGGAAAAUUCAAUGGAGUUUCGACUCCAAGCUUUAUUAUGAAAAAAAAUAAUUCAAGUGAUGGAAUUUGCUUAUUUAAAAAAGAAUAUUUUCCUAAGUAUCGCGUUCCCUAAGCAUACAUCUAAAGCGGUAAAUCAUCAUACAACGUGUGUGCGUGUCGGUGCUUGUGUCGGUGUACAUCAUUAGAGUCCAUUGUCCGUUACAUUGGCCCUAGUUUACAUUCUAUGGUCUUGCAAGAAAUUAAAAAAGAGAAAUUGAAACUACCUAAAUUUACAUGCCAACUUUAACAUAGAAAUUGAAGGGUAAAAAUGCCUAAACUACAAGAAAUUGAGAUGGAGGUGGUAGAAUGCUUAUGAAAUGGAUGAAACAUGAAGUAAAAAGGUUAGUAAAAUAGGGUGUAAAAUGAUAGAACAAGUGAGCAAAGGAAUACGAGAUAAACGGUAAAAAUGUCAACAAUAACCAAAAUGUAAAAAAAGAAACACAUUACUUGCAACACAAGAAACUAACAAAUCACAUCAAAAACAGUAAAACAAACACAUGAUCAGAGGCAUAUUCAUCACAAAAUAGCAUAUCAAUCAUUCAUACCAUGCCAAGAUCUCAUGAACAAAUUAUAGCAAGAAAAUUCACAAGUUUAGACAAAGAAAGGGAGCAAAUCAAUCAAGAAAACAUCACAUAUGUUUUUAUCAUUUUUUAACAUGUAAAAACAUCACAAAAAUAUCAAAAAUGCAUCAAGAAACACAUAGAAAUUUUUAGGAAUUUUUACAAGAAAAUUUGAGCACACAGGAGGUUCACAUAGCAAAAACAGAGGGUGCACAUAGCAAGAAAUAGCAAAAACGCAGGAAACCACAGGGAAAAAAAAGGCCCAAGCCCAAGCCUAUUGGACCUGGACACUCAGGGAGCGUUGGAUUGAUCCAGGGGAUGAAACCCUAGGUCUAACGGCCAAGAUCAAGGGAAAAUGGACCGGACUUGGACCGGUCCGGUUCAGUGGCCUAUAUAUAUGUGGAGGCACCGGUUUAUUUCAUUUGCUACUCCCAUUUCUCUCUCUAACUCUCACCUUCUCUCACUAGGUUCUUGUCUUCUCUUUUCUCCCCUCGCCGGUUUCUGCAGGAAACGGCCGGAGAGGAUGAAGAUCGGCCGGAACCUUCAAAGGUCCGCCGGAAUCUUCAUCUUCUCCGGCGAGAACUCCAGGUUCCGGUUGACCUAAGUUUCCAGAUCUAACCCAAACUAACCCUAAACCACUCGUCUCUUCAUUCUAAACACGAAUUUGAUAUCAGAAUUUGCAUGCAAGCUUGGAAUCGAUGUAGAUCGGAGAAUUUGUUUACGGUUUUCAAAGAUUUUUUAAGGUUUUCAGUUUUUUGAAAGAAACUUCUUGAAACUCCGCAGAUCUACAUUGAUUCAGUCUUGUUGAUGUUUUUGAGAAAGAAAGUGAAGUUUAAGUGUUACCUGUGGUUUUAAUCGGAGAUUUCGAACCGGAAUCUUCAGAAAAAGCUUGAAUCUGAUUCUGUUUGUUGAUUUCUUGCUUUAAAACCGAAAAUAAAUCGGUGUUGUUCCUUCUUCUUCUUCACCGGUUCAAUUUCUUCAUCUUCUUUCCCUCUUCUUCUUCACUGAUUCUCUGUGAUCGGUGCUGGAGUUUAUCACCGAUUGGUGAUGAAUUCGCGCCUUGAAUUGCAGAGAAACCGGUUCAAUGAUGAUGAUUCCUUGAUGAAUCUCUGAGAACUGUAGCGAAUUUGAUGAAUUUGUUGGUGAAUUGUGGUUCUGGAAAGCUAGGGUUUGAAGAUUGUUCUUCACGUUCUUGGUGAUUUUGGAUUUUGAUCCUAACUGAAAAGAGAGAGAAAUUUCUCUCUGUUUGUGAUGUGGCGUGUAUUGUGUGGCUCUCUGUGGCACUGUGCACUAUUUAUAAGCUGCCAAGUGUGAUCCUGGACCAAUGAAAUGGUGACACCUGUAAUUUGGACAUAACAAACUCGGCCUUGUACCAUUUGGACUUGGGGACCUUUCUGCAAAAUAAGAAAAUUGAAGGACUGGACUGCAAUUUACAAAAAAGGACCAAAAAAUGCAAUUUUAAAAAGUGUUGGACUAAAAUGCAAUUUUAGAAACUGUUUCAGGGACUAAAAUGCAAUUAAAAUAAAAUUGGACUAAAAUUGGUAAAUUGGACAAAACGUAAAGAGAAACCUAGAAUAAAAUCAACAAAAGGACUAAAAUGAACCAAUUACAAAAAUGAGGUGUUUUAAAAUACCUCUCUGUCGAAAUUUCAACAGGAAAAGACCAAAAUGCCCCUAGGGACUAAACUGACUCAAAUGCAAUUUUGAAAUGGGUUUUUUUUUACAAAGACUUAACAAUGAUUUAUACAGUCGAAUUGAAAAGACUUAGAGACAAAUACAGGGACAAAAAUGGGUUCCACUGCAGGAAAUGACCAAAAUACCUUUUUGUAUGAUUUUUUGCAGAUGCUUUGAAAUAAAAUGCAAGAAAGACACUUUGGAUGGUUUUAUGCAAGAAAAUCAAAGACAAAAUCAUGAUUGAAAAUACUUCGGGACAGAGACAGUAAAAUAUGCAGGUGAAACAAAGUAAAGAUUCAGAGUAAAAAAGAAGUAAAUUGACAAAUAUCAGUGGUGGAAAAGCAAUUUGGAUGAGUAUUUUUAGGUCCAAAAUCAGGGUAUAGCAUAUAUAUAUAUAUAUAUAUAGAGAGAGAGAGAGAGAGAGAUAUAGAGAUAGAGAGAGAGGAUGAAUGUAAGCAGCGCCGAUUGCUUGUAUUGUAACAGAUAACCUAGGAACACAUUUAUAAAUAGGUCAUUUGAGGAGUUGUUGGUGUAAAUAGGUUAGGUUUCAUUGACGGGCUUCACGAGUCCAAGAAGUAUAGUGGAUAUAUGGGCUCCUUCAUUAUAUCUUGUUUGGACAAGGCCGACCUUUUCACUACAUAUCCUUUUCUGAUUAAGAAUUUCUUUUCCCAUCUUGUACCCUUCUCCUACGCCCUAUUUUUUUUACAAAAAUGACCAUGAGAUUUUCGGAUUCUAUAAUCCGAAAUGAAUUUUACCCCUAUUUUGAGGUGGAAAAAAGAGUUCUCACCAAUUCAUAUUUUAUAAUCUCAAAAUCCCAAAAAUUAGGGCGUGUUCUUUUUUUUUUUUUUUUUGGACUGUACAAUCUGAACACCUCCUAAACACCUAGAUGGUGUAAAAUUCGGCAAGUGUACCAAAAUAUAUCGUGUAACAUAGUAGUAAGUUAUCGUCUCCGUAGGGAUUAUCAUUCAACUCGGUAAUUGGCGGCAUUUAUUAGAAGUAGAGAAUUUAGAAAAGAUGAAGUGGUUUGUGAGGUUUUAAUUGACUUGUCAAAUACAAGAAUAGGUAUGUGGUUCAGAAGUAUAAUCGCGAUUAGAGAAUCCUUGAAUCCCCCUUCAUUAUUUGUUGGAAUUAACUCGGUUAAUUAUUAGUUUAUGACCUAACUUUCGAUUUAAGAAAGUAGAACAUGUUGCCGUGAUGAAUCUGCAGAAGCUUAAUUUUAAUAUCGCCACAAUUCAAUUAGUUACAAUUGUGAAAUUCCCCUUCAUUGAUUAUGCAGUGGAACAAAUAAACCAAAAGAUUUAAUUGAUUUCCAUCUUAGAUUUGAGAUACGGCAUCAAAAUCGGUGGUAAUUCUAUAUAAACAAUCGAGAAGAACUUCAAACAUUUGGAAGUUUUAUGUCGUAAUAUGCAUCUGAUAGAAACUUUGAGAAAACCCUUUGAAGAUAACAUCUUCAAAGGGUUUUCUAGAAGUUUCUAACAGAUGCAUAUUGUGACUGAAAACUUCCAAGCAUUUGUAGUUCUUGUCGAUUGUUUAUAUAGCAUUGCCACCAAUGUUGAUGCGGUGUCUCAAAUCUAAGAUGGAAAUCAUUGAAAGCUUUCGGUUUAUUUGUUGCACUGCAAAAUUGUUCAUAUUGUAUCAUGGAAUGCACAAGUCUUGGAGAGAGCCAACAUUUUCAGCAAUGAAGGUAAAAACCCUUUCAGCAUGGAUACCAGAAACAUUGAGUUACUUCUUACAAGUAGAAGAAAAACUACGACUUGGCAUCAAAGAAAAGACAAUAAAUCAAUUUAUACUUCAAAGAAAGUAUGAAGUAUGAUUGAAUCAGUCCAGUCUUUGAACUGAUUUUUUUUUGUGUUCGAGGUAUAUUUCAUACAACACAAUCAAUUAUGCAACAAGUGUACCAUAUAAUAAUUUACCACAAUUCAUAUUUGUUAAUUUGUAGUCAUAUCUUACGACAUCUUGAGCUUGAUUAUCACCUUGUUUUCUCAUUUCCAUUUUCCAAUUCUCUGCUCUUUUAGUGAGAGAACAUCUUCGAGCUUCUAGUGGAGUAAUGAGCGCAUAUUUCUCAUGAUUAUAAUUCAUGGGAGGGGUUGCAAGUAUCUGUUGAAUUUUUUUCAUAAGAAUAUUACUAUAUCAUUUAGAAACUUUUGAAUUAAACGUAAAUAUGAUUACAUUCGAUAUGCAAUCAAGAUAACCACAAACUCACACAGCCGUAUGUUCGAUCUUAACAUAAAAUAUUGAAAUUCAUUUUAAAAAAUGGAUCUAAAACAAAAAAUGAAAAUACACACUAUCUAGUCAAAUUAUAGCCGUCAGAGAUUUGUCAUGGAGAUCGCAAAAACUAAAAAUAUAGUCCACGGAUCUUGUUGUCAACCUCGCUGUAGAUCUAGUAGAAAAAAACCAUAAGAUUAAAGAAGGGAAAAUAAUCCAAUAAAAACUAUAUAUCAAUAUAUGAUAAAAGUCCUUAGAUUGAAUACACACUUAUAAUUCAUUUGACUCAAAUGAAAUCACAAAGGAUGUAUCCCACCUUUACAUAUCAUAACCAAAUCCACUGUACAAAUU
rnacentral:lncRNA from 1 species